UCUACUACAAAGGAUAUCACUUGGGAAGGAAUUUCUUGAAACUGCUCCCAAGAGAGCCAUUGGACCAUGUGGUAAACAACUCCUAGCUGAUGGAUUAUUGGGAAUAUUAACAUCAUCCAGAAUGCUAUGGGGAGAAGACAACUGGAAGCUCCGUGUGGACAAACCUCCUGGACUCUGCCCCACAUAUCUCUUCCCUUGGCUGAUUUGAAUUUGUAUCCUUUCACUGUGAUAAACCACAACCAGAUUAUUACAGCUGUCAGCAAGUUCUUCUAUUGAAUUGUUGAAACUGAGGGUGGUCUUGGGAACCCCUGAACUCUACUGUUGGUGUCAGGAGUGAGGGAAGUCUUGUGGACUGUACUCCCUGACCUCACAGGUGCAUUUUCCAACUUUAUUUGGACAUUCCCCAACAACAUCAUCCCCUUCUUCAA
rnacentral:lncRNA from 10 species